GGCUGGGUGCGGCUCUUCCGGCGCCCGCGGCUCUUUCACGCCGUAUACCCCGAUCGCCGUGCACCCCAUGUGGAGACGGCAGGCGCCGCUAGGAUCUCUUGUUCUGGGGGAUACCAGCUGCCAUGUGAACAGUUCUACAGAGAGGCCCACGUGGUGAGGAGGUCAAGUCUUUGGCCAACAGCCAGUGAGGAGCCGGGGCUUGUCAACAGGUGAGCUCAGCAGUGGAGCCUCUACCCCAUUUGAGUCUUCAGAUGGCUGCAGCUCUGGCUGACAGUUCCACUGCAACCUCCUGAGAGACCAUGAGCCAGAACCCCCUAGCUAAGCCAUUCUCAGAAACGCAUUAUGCAUGAUGGCCAAGACAUGGGAA